rfam:Melampsora larici-populina 98AG31 unplaced genomic scaffold MELLAscaffold_181, whole genome shotgun sequence.
GGGAGCAUAGUGUAGUGGCUAUCACGCUUCAUUUGCAUUCAUGAUUCAUCGCAUCUUGAAGAGGUCCCGGGUUCAAUCCCCGGUGCUUCCA